UCCCAGGUGGCUCAGUGGGUAAAGAAUCUGCCUGCAAUGCAGAAGACCCGGGUUCGAUCCCUGGGUUGGGAA
rnacentral:tRNA from 1 species